rnacentral:rRNA from 1 species
UGGGGAAUAUUGCGCAAUGGGGGCAACCCUGACGCAGCCAUGCCGCGUGAAUGAAGAAGGCCUUCGGGUUGUAAAGUUCUUUCGGUGACGAGGAAGGCGUGAUGUUUAAUAGGCAUCACGAUUGACGUUAAUCACAGAAGAAGCACCGGCUAACUCCGUGCCAGCAGCCGCGGUAAUACGGAGGGUGCGAGCGUUAAUCGGAAUAACUGGGCGUAAAGGGCACGCAGGCGGCUAUUUAAGUGAGGUGUGAAAUCCCCGGGCUUAACCUGGGAAUUGCAUUUCAGACUGGGUAGCUAGAGUACUUUAGGGAGGGGUAGAAUUCCACGUGUAGCGGUGAAAUGCGUAGAGAUGUGGAGGAAUACCGAAGGCGAAGGCAGCCCCUUGGGAAUGUACUGACGCUCAUGUGCGAAAGCGUGGGGAGCAAACAGGAUUAGAUACCCUGGUAGUCCACGCUGUAAACGCUGUCGAUUUGGGGAUUGGGCCUUGAGCUUGGUGCCCGAAGCUAACGUGAUAAAUCGACCGCCUGGGGAGUACGGNCGCAAGGUU